GGAUAUAGCUCAGGGGUAGAGCGCUCCCAUAGCAUGGGAGAGGGCUGGGGUUCAAAUCCCCAUAUUUCCA
rnacentral:tRNA from 1 species